rnacentral:rRNA from 1 species
CCUACGGGUGGCAGCAGUGGGGGAUAUUGCACAAUGGGGGCAACUCUGAUGCAGCGAUGCCGCGUGGGCGAAGAAGUCUCUCGGUAUGUAAAGCUCUAUCAGCAGGGAAGAAGAAAUGACGGUACCUGAGUAAGAAGCACCGGCUAAAUACGUGCCAGCAGCCGCGGUAAUACGUAUGGUGCAAGCGUUACCCGGAUUUACUGGGUGUAAAGGGAGCGCAGGCGGCACGGCAAGCCUGAUGUGAAAGCCCGCGGCCCAACGGCGGGACUGCAUUGGGAACUACCGGGCUGGAGUGCCGGUGAGGUAGGCGGAAUUGAUGGUGUAGCGGUGAAAUGCGUAGAGAUUAGAAGGAACACCAGUGGCGAAGGCGGCCUACUGAGCGGUGACUGACGCUGAGGCUCGAAAGCGUGGGGAGCAAACAGGAUUAGAUACCCGUGUAGUC